rnacentral:rRNA from 1 species
UACGUAGGGGGCAAGCGUUGUCGGGAAUCAUUGGGCGUAAAGCGCGUGUAGGCGGCCAGAAAAGUCCGCUGUGAAAACUCGAGGCUCAACUUCGAGCUGUCGGUGGAAACUUUCUGGCUAGAGUCCGGAAGAGGAGAAUGGAAUUCCUGGUGUAGCGGUGAAAUGCGCAGAUAUCAGGAAGAACACCCGUGGCGAAGGCGGUUCUCUGGGACGGUACUGACGCUGAGACGCGAAAGCGUGGGGAGCGAACAGG